rnacentral:rRNA from 1 species
AACGAACGCUGGCGGCAGGCCUAACACAUGCAAGUCGAACGCUCUAGCAAUAGAGAGUGGCGCACGGGUGCGUAACGCGUGGGAAUAUGCCCUUGACUACGGAACAACGUCGGGAAACUGACGCUAAUACCGUAUAAUGUCUUCGGACCAAAGAUUUAUCGGUCAAGGAUUAGCCCGCGUCUGAUUAGCUAGUUGGUGAGGUAACGGCUCACCAAGGCGACGAUCAGUAGCUGGUCUGAGAGGAUGAUCAGCCACACUGGGACUGAGACACGGCCCAGACUCCUACGGGAGGCAGCAGUGAGGAAUAUUGGACAAUGGAGGCAACUCUGAUCCAGCCAUGCCGCGUGAGUGACGAAGGCCUUCGGGUUGUAAAGCUCUUUCAGAUGCGAAGAUAAUGACGGUAACAUCAGAAAAAGCCCCGGCUAAAUUCGUGCCGGCAGCCGCCGUAA